rnacentral:rRNA from 1 species
UACGGAGGGUGCGAGCGUUGUCCGGAAUCACUGGGCGUAAAGGGCGCGUAGGUGGCCCGACAAGUCCGUGGUGAAAGCUCAACGCUCAACGUCGAGUCGGCCAUGGAUACUGUGGGGCUGGAGCACUGUAGAGGCUCAUGGAAUUCCGGGUGUAGCGGUGGAAUGCGUAGAGAUCCGGAAGAACACCGGUGGCGAAGGCGGUGAGCUGGGCAGUAGCUGACACUGAGGCGCGACAGCGUGGGGAGCAAACAGG